GUGUUUUCUUUAUGAAAACCCCGGUUUCCGUCCGCUUCCCAAAGUUAAGCAAUGUCGGGCCUGGUCAGUACUUGGAAGGGUGACCACCUGGGAACACCGAAGGCUGUAGGCU